rnacentral:rRNA from 1 species
UGGGGAAUAUUGGACAAUGGGCGCAAGCCUGAUCCAGCCAUGCCGCGUGAGUGAUGAAGGCCCUAGGGUUGUAAAGCUCUUUCACCGGUGAAGAUAAUGACGGUAACCGGAGAAGAAGCCCCGGCUAACUUCGUGCCAGCAGCCGCGGUAAUACGAAGGGGGCUAGCGUUGUUCGGAUUUACUGGGCGUAAAGCGCACGUAGGCGUACUAUUAAGUCAGGGGUGAAAUCCCGGGGCUCAACCCCGGAACUGCCUUUGAUACUGGUAGUCUUGAGUUCGAGAGAGGUGAGUGGAAUUCCGAGUGUAGAGGUGAAAUUCGUAGAUAUUCGGAGGAACACCAGUGGCGAAGGCGGCUCACUGGCUCGAUACUGACGCUGAGGUGCGAAAGCGUGGGGAGCAAACAGG